CUGGUCGUUGUUAGUUUGCAUUGGAUUACUUUUUAAAUACUUCCUUAUCGAAACACUUAACAGUUAGUGGAGUUGCUAUACUUUUAAAAGUUCUGCAGCACAGCCAUAUCGGUCUCAAGCAGAACUUUUCUGUGCGCUAAACAGAUUAACUGAAUAAGUGUAAAGUUUACUACAACGGUGUUAUAGCAAAACAUCACUAAAACAAUCGGCAGGUUGUGUACAUCCUGUGAACCUCUAAGGAUCCCCAGAAUAGGCUACAACAAUCCCAAAGGCAUGAGGUGGCUUGGGAAAGAGGGAUAAAAGCCAGAACUCUCCAACUGAUUUCAAACCUGGCAGGUGUCUUGACAACUGUUCCCGAGUCGAAACAAGCGACACUUUCAACAGCUAGGUCCCAAAUUUAGGGACCGUUUCAGAAUGGCAAACUCAUGUCUCCAUCUCCAGACAGUAUCCACAGAUUUAAAAUGGAGCCAGCUUCAUCCAUUCCAGAGAUCCUUCGCAAGAUAAGGAAAGUUUCCUCAUGGAGCGGAGUUCCAGCAGGAUGGCCUGUAAAGUGUUCUUGCAGUUACACAUACAGCAGCUGGGCUUCUCUGUGCUGGCCACUGAAGUUUGAGGGAGUGCCAUGUCUGCACCAGGUGAGACAUACAGUAUGACCACAUAUUAUUUCACAUAGUGAUAUGCCAUACCAUGAUUUAAAUUAUAAUUGAAGGCAAUAACGUCUGCCCUCCUCCUCCACCUCCUCCUCUGUGUGUGUGUGUGUGUGUGUGUGUGUGUGUGUGUGUGUGUGUGUUAGAAGAACAGGGACAGCGUGUGCACUGUGUCCACUCUGUAUCCAUUGUUGGCAGAGAAGACAACUCAUAGUCUGUGUGUGUGUGUGUGUGUGUGUGUGUGUGUGUGUGUGUGUGUGUGUGUGUGUGUGUGUGUGGUGAGUGAACAAGAGUGGGCAAGCCGUCUGGUGACACAGCCUCCAGACACUUCUGAGUGUGAGACUUUGUCUGUCAGGAACUGUCUAGACAUUCUCCUAUUCACAACCAAGCUAGACAUUAGCCCCCCCCCCAUCCCCACUCACUCAGCAUCUGAGGUCGUAUUAAAGAGAUUGUGUUGCCUCCUCUAUCUCAUUACUAAAGUCUAGUCUAGAUUAAGGAGCUCUGUUUCUAAUAAAUGUGAUAGAAAGAAGCACCCAUACAUCCCCACACACACACACACAUACAUACACACACACACACACCCCUAAUCAACACAGUGCUCUUGCAGCAGAUCCUGGUUACUUAGCAACACCUCAUACAAA